AACGAACGCUGGCGGCAUGCCUAACACAUGCAAGUCGAACGAGACCUUCGGGUCUAGUGGCGCACGGGUGCGUAACGCGUGGGAACCUGCCCUUAGGUUCGGAAUAACUCCCCGAAAGGGGUGCUAAUACCGGAUAAUGUCUUCGGACCAAAGAUUUAUCGCCUUUGGAUGGGCCCGCGUUGGAUUAGCUAGUUGGUAGGGUAAAAGCCUACCAAGGCGACGAUCCAUAGCUGGUCUGAGAGGAUGAUCAGCCACACUGGGACUGAGACACGGCCCAGACUACUACGGGAGGCAGCAGUGGGGAAUAUUGGACAAUGGGCGAAAGCCUGAUCCAGCAAUGCCGCGUGAGUGAUGAAGGCCUUAGGGUUGUAAAGCUCUUUUACCCGGGAUGAUAAUGACAGUACCGGGAGAAUAAGCGCCGGCUAACUCCGUG
rnacentral:rRNA from 1 species